CAGUAGCGGCGAGCGAACGGGGAGCAGCCCAGAGCCUGAAUCAGUGUGUGUGUUAGUGGAAGCGUCUGGAAAGGCGCGCGAUACAGGGUGACAGCCCCGUACACAAAAAUGCACAUGCUGUGAGCUCGAUGAGUAGGGCGGGACACGUGGUAUCCUGUCUGAAUAUGGGGGGACCAUCCUCCAAGGCUAAAUACUCCUGACUGACCGAUAGUGAACCAGUACCGUGAGGGAAAGGCGAAAAGAACCCCGGCGAGGGGAGUGAAAAAGAACCUGAAACCGUGUACGUACAAGCAGUGGGAGCACGCUUAGGCGUGUGACUGCGUACCUUUUGUAUAAUGGGUCAGCGACUUAUAUUCUGUAGCAAGGUUAACCGAAUAGGGGAGCCGAAGGGAAACCGAGUCUUAACUGGGCGUUAAGUUGCAGGGUAUAGACCCGAAACCCGGUGAUCUAGCCAUGGGCAGGUUGAAGGUUGGGUAACACUAACUGGAGGACCGAACCGACUAAUGUUGAAAAAUUAGCGGAUGACUUGUGGCUGGGGGUGAAAGGCCAAUCAAACCGGGAGAUAGCUGGUUCUCCCCGAAAGCUAUUUAGGUAGCGCCUCGUGAAUUCAUCUCCGGGGGUAGAGCACUGUUUCGGCAAGGGGGUCAUCCCGACUUACCAACCCGAUGCAAACUGCGAAUACCGGAGAAUGUUAUCACGGGAGACACACGGCGGGUGCUAACGUCCGUCGUGAAGAGGGAAACAACCCAGACCGCCAGCUAAGGUCCCAAAGUCAUGGUUAAGUGGGAAACGAUGUGGGAAGGCCCAGACAGCCAGGAUGUUGGCUUAGAAGCAGCCAUCAUUUAAAGAAAGCGUAAUAGCUCACUGGUCGAGUCGGCCUGCGCGGAAGAUGUAACGGGGCUAAACCAUGCACCGAAGCUGCGGCAGCGACGCUUAUGCGUUGUUGGGUAGGGGAGCGUUCUGUAAGCCUGUGAAGGUGUACUGUGAGGUAUGCUGGAGGUAUCAGAAGUGCGAAUGCUGACAUAAGUAACGAUAAAGCGGGUGAAAAGCCCGCUCGCCGGAAGACCAAGGGUUCCUGUCCAACGUUAAUCGGGGCAGGGUGAGUCGACCCCUAAGGCGAGGCCGAAAGGCGUAGUCGAUGGGAAACAGGUUAAUAUUCCUGUACUUGGUGUUACUGCGAAGGGGGGACGGAGAAGGCUAUGUUGGCCGGGCGACGGUUGUCCCGGUUUAAGCGUGUAGGCUGGUUUUCCAGGCAAAUCCGGAAAAUCAAGGCUGAGGCGUGAUGACGAGGCACUACGGUGCUGAAGCAACAAAUGCCCUGCUUCCAGGAAAAGCCUCUAAGCAUCAGGUAACAUCAAAUCGUACCCCAAACCGACACAGGUGGUCAGGUAGAGAAUACCAAGGCGCUUGAGAGAACUCGGGUGAAGGAACUAGGCAAAAUGGUGCCGUAACUUCGGGAGAAGGCACGCUGAUAUGUAGGUGAAGCGACUUGCUCGUGGAGCUGAAAUCAGUCGAAGAUACCAGCUGGCUGCAACUGUUUAUUAAAAACACAGCACUGUGCAAACACGAAAGUGGACGUAUACGGUGUGACGCCUGCCCGGUGCCGGAAGGUUAAUUGAUGGGGUCAGCGCAAGCGAAGCUCUUGAUCGAAGCCCCGGUAAACGGCGGCCGUAACUAUAACGGUCCUAAGGUAGCGAAAUUCCUUGUCGGGUAAGUUCCGACCUGCACGAAUGGCGUAAUGAUGGCCAGGCUGUCUCCACCCGAGACUCAGUGAAAUUGAACUCGCUGUGAAGAUGCAGUGUACCCGCGGCAAGACGGAAAGACCCCGUGAACCUUUACUAUAGCUUGACACUGAACAUUGAGCCUUGAUGUGUAGGAUAGGUGGGAGGCUUGGAAGUGUGGACGCCAGUCUGCAUGGAGCCGACCUUGAAAUACCACCCUUUAAUGUUUGAUGUUCUAACGUUGACCCGUAAUCCGGGUUGCGGACAGUGUCUGGUGGGUAGUUUGACUGGGGCGGUCUCCUCCUAAAGAGUAACGGAGGAGCACGAAGGUUGGCUAAUCCUGGUCGGACAUCAGGAGGUUAGUGCAAUGGCAUAAGCCAGCUUGACUGCGAGCGUGACGGCGCGAGCAGGUGCGAAAGCAGGUCAUAGUGAUCCGGUGGUUCUGAAUGGAAGGGCCAUCGCUCAACGGAUAAAAGGUACUCCGGGGAUAACAGGCUGAUACCGCCCAAGAGUUCAUAUCGACGGCGGUGUUUGGCACCUCGAUGUCGGCUCAUCACAUCCUGGGGCUGAAGUAGGUCCCAAGGGUAUGGCUGUUCGCCAUUUAAAGUGGUACGCGAGCUGGGUUUAGAACGUCGUGAGACAGUUCGGUCCCUAUCUGCCGUGGGCGCUGGAGAACUGAGGGGGGCUGCUCCUAGUACGAGAGGACCGGAGUGGACGCAUCACUGGUGUUCGGGUUGUCAUGCCAAUGGCACUGCCCGGUAGCUAAAUGCGGAAGAGAUAAGUGCUGAAAGCAUCUAAGCACGAAACUUGCCCCGAGAUGAGUUCUCCCUGAGACUUUAAGUCUCCUGAAGGAACGUUGAAGACGACGACGUUGAUAGGCCGGGUGUGUAAGCGCAGCGAUGCGUUGAGCUAACCGGUACUAAUGAACCGUGAGGCUUAACCUU
rnacentral:rRNA from 1 species